GGAAAAGGGAAGGGAAGUGGUGAAAAACAGAGUGAAAAAAGUAAAAAGAGUUGGAGGGAAAAAGAGAGGGCAUUGGGGAGGAGCGGUGCUGCCUCAGGUCCUUCCCCGCCGUGGGGCGAAGGAGCCGUUUGAUGCCCGGGAGGGAGUGCAGGUCCCGGUGGCUCCCGGGGGACGGAGCGGUGGCUGUCAGCCCGAGACUCCAACUCCCGGCAGGCCGUGCUGCCGGCGCGGCGUGUGACGCAACGGCUAUCGCGGCACAUGAGUGGCUGUCAGCCCGAGACUCCAACUCCCGGCAGGCCCUGCUGCUGGCGCGGCGUGUGACGCAACGGGCGACGCGGCCCGGCAUUUUUCUCUAAAUCGGCAGUAAAUACAGCUGAGUAAAAUUAGCUUGGUUUUCUUCCUUCUUUUGUAACGGAACUGUUUUUAUUAAAAAUCCUAUUUGAAUAUGUGGAAAAAGUGGGGAUGUCCUGUAAUAUAUCGUCGCUUUUCUUGUUUACAUGGUGCUCAGAAAGCAUGCGUCCCUUAGAGUCCCACGGAAAGGUUCUCAGUGCGAUCUCUAUCAAGGAAGUGUUGGAAGUUAGUGUUUUGGGAAAGAAACGGCAGUUCCACAGAACAUUCCAUUUCACAGAGGCUCUGGGAACGAUUCAUGUUUGCUAUGAGUCUUGAUAAGUUGGAGAAGAGCCCAAGAGAAAUUUUUCAUCCCUUGAUAUAAAAGGGAUCGGUGAAUUUUAACUUUGGAGUCCACUAUGCUAAGGAUGCUCAGCUUACAGGUGAUGAAAUGUUCAGUAAUGUAUUUGCUGCAGCUCUGCUUACCCAAGCUUUGGGUUCCUUCUGUCCCACUGGGAGUUGCCCAGUUUGGUUGCAUCUGGUGAAAUUCACCCUGAGACCUUACAGAACUAGCUCCAACUACGUGAGAGCCAUUUGCAGUUCUCUCCAGACACCUGGAGAAUGGGUGACGUUUCUGAGGAUCCGGCGAGCGUGCUUCUAUCAAAACUCAGUCUGUGAAAUUCCUGGGGAAAACCCUUCUGUGUCCUGAAGGGUUCAAACUCUGGCGAGGAUCCCGUUAUCAGGUGCUCACCUGGAUGGUUCCAGCUGCCAAAGGGAAAGACUCUCGUAUCCUUGUCGUCGGGCUCGGUGCUGUCCAAGAAGAUACGGGGACUAAAAAAAUCAUAAGAAGCAAAAUAUGACUGCAGGGAAAAGAAGCUGGAGAGAACAGAAGACUCAUCACGGCGGGACAGCGUGAAGACUGAAAGUGUAAGAAGAUGUGGAGGGAAAGAGAGAAUCUGACAGGAGCAGCGAACGCACGAGUGCACGAAUUUUGCUUUUUGCUUGGAUGUAAACUCAGGAGUUGAAAGGAAUUUGGGAGUGAGAAGGGACAUUUCAGAAGGAGAAGAAGAAAAAGAAGUUGUUGCUACAGUCCUGGCAAAAGCUUUUGUUCUAGCUAAUAAAAGAAGUUAGUUUAAAAAACAAAAAGGAAAAAAUGUAGUGUUUUUUUUUUCCUUCACUAUGAUAUUCAUUGGUGGUAUAUGGUGUGUUGUUUUAUUUCUUGGUAUUAUUAACUCUGUGUAAAUUGUUUUUUGAGUGAAGCUGACUUUCUGGAUGGGUUGGUUUGUAUUUGAGGCAGGAUUAAUUUCAGUAGGGUUCUUUCAUAGAUUUCUGAUGGGUAUUACUGGGAUUUUGGUUUUGUUUACUGUAUGUAUGAACCUAGAGCUUUGGUAGGGCCAGCUGGGCUGCUGGAGUUUUGGGUGUGAAUUUAUUAGAUGGCUUUUGUUAGAUGCAGUUUUUAAUUUUUGAAAUGUUUUUCAAUGUAGUGGUUUUAAGGUGGUUUUUAAGAAUUCAUUGUAUUGCUUUAUCUUGUUUGUAGUUGGUGUAUGAUAAGGGAUGUGGUGUGAGUUCUUGAACAUUAUGGUUUUGGUGUUCCUAAGUUCUGAUUUCUUUGUGGUUCAAUAUUUUUUUUUAUUUUUAUUUUUUGGGACAGGGGCAUUUAUAUGGUGGGUUUUUAUAGGCAAUAUGUUUUUUAAUUUAGGUAGUGAUAUUUUUU